rnacentral:rRNA from 1 species
GAUGAACGCUGGCGGCGUGCCUAAUACAUGCGAGUCGAGCGAACGGACGAGAAGCUUGCUUCUCUGAUGUUAGCGGCGGACGGGUGAGUAACACGUGGAUAACCUACCUAUAAGACUGGGAUAACUUCGGGAAACCGGAGCUAAUACCGGAUAAUAUUUUGAACCGCAUGGUUCAAAAGUGAAAGACGGUCUUGCUGUCACUUAUAGAUGGAUCCGCGCUGCAUUAGCUAGUUGGUAAGGUAACGGCUUACCAAGGCAACGAUGCAUAGCCGACCUGAGAGGGUGAUCGGCCACACUGGAACUGAGACACGGUCCAGACUCCUACGGGAGGCAGCAGUAGGGAAUCUUCCGCAAUGGGCGAAAGCCUGACGGAGCAACGCCGCGUGAGUGAUGAAGGUCUUCGGACCGUAAAACUCUGUUAUUAGGGAAGAACAUAUGUGUAAGUAACUGUGCACAUCUUGACGGUACCUAAUCAGAAAGCCACGGCUAACUACGUG